AGUCUCAAUUGUAGGGUUUAAGCGAUGGUUCCCUCACAGUUGCCUAUCUGGCUUUCGAAAUCCCUUUGACUCAAUCCUUCUACCUUUUGUGCACAGGAAUGGCAUCGUUUUGCAGAUCAGCUUUAAUGGCGGGCUCAAGGUCCAUAGCGGCUCGGUCUAGAACCCUAACCCAAAAAACCUUAAACUCAAACUCCUUUUCCUCUCCUUUCUCUUCGCAAUCAACGCGAGCCAUCCCCAACGCUUCAAGGGUUGUGUCGGUUUUGGGGAGCGUGGAGUCACUGAUGCCGCUUCACAGCGCCAUUGCGAGUGCUAGGCUCAAAUCCAGCAUCGCUGUUGAUUCCUCUUGCUGGAGCUGGCUUUCUCAAGCAAUUGCGGUUGCUUGACUUAUUUCUUCUACUACAUGCAAUAGGGCUUGCAACACCAUUGUGACAGAAUGCCGGAUCAAUGUUGGAUGAUUUUGCAGUUCCUCGGUGACAAAGGUUUUGGUAAUUUCAAACAAAAUUGGCUUGCUUUUGAGCAGUCUUUCUUCCUCCUAUGUUGGUUCUUCCGUCCUUUUGCCGUUUCAUUUCUACUGAUGGCUAUUUGCAUCGCAUAAGUCAUUGAUUGGGUGGGGUCAAUUUUUAGUAUGGGUUGUGGGCAUGCCUUCUUUUUUUGAGGUGGAAAGUCAAGGUCUUCCAAAAAUGUGUUCAUCAGCUUGCACACUCUGGUCUGUUGACAGUAUUUAUUUUCUUGGCUCUUCUUUUUAUUUAUUUUUCAAAGUUAAUAGGCUUGACUCUUAACCUACACAGAUCAACUGGAGAACAUGAGAAGUUAUUUGUAUCGAAUUGCUAUAUGUUGGAAUCACUAGGAUCUGUAUUUUCUGGGCUAGGAAGCAUGCAUCUACCUAUUAUUUUAUUAACUUUGCAAAUUCAUUAGUUAUGCAUUAGAAUUGAACCAAUGAUCUAUGAAUAUCGCACGACUUUCAGGA